AAACCAACAGGGAUUGCCUCAGUAACGGCGAGUGAAGCGGCAAAAGCUCAAAUUUGAAAUCCCCCCGGGGAGUUGUAAUUUGAAGAUUGCGUCUUGGAGGCGACCGUGUCUAUGUUCCUUGGAACAGGACGUCACAGAGGGUGAGAAUCCCGUGCGGCACGGCCCCCGGCUCCUUAUAAGGCGCUCUCGACGAGUCGAGUUGUUUGGGAAUGCAGCUCAAAGUGGGUGGUAAAUUCCAUCUAAAGCUAAAUACAGGCGAGAGACCGAUAGCGAACAAGUACAGUGAUGGAAAGAUGAAAAGCACUUUGAAAAGAGAGUGAAACAGCACGUGAAAUUGUUGAAAGGGAAGGGCAUGCCGUCAGAUUGUCAGUGUCGGUAAGAAGCGGGGUACAAAGACUGUGGAACGUGGCCCUCGGGUGUUAUAGCCGCAGUUCAUGCCCCGUCUCUUUCCGAGGCCUGCUUUGAGGACACCGACGUAAUGACGGUACGCCGC
rnacentral:rRNA from 1 species